GUUGUGGACCUUCAUGGUAAGGUUUUAAAUUGUGAAGUGUUUGCUUCUUAUGUUACAGGAAAAUCUUGUUGAUAAGCUGCUGGCAUAAUUUUUUCCCCAGUUCAGCAGAUAAAAUUUUACUCCCUAAAUUAAUGAAUUAACACCUCUUACUUCCAGCUUCAUCAAUUUGAUCACAUUUCCUCUUGUGUCUUUCCAUUACUUCCUUUUCUCAGCAUGUCAUAAAUACUACUUGCUUUGCUUCUGCAUUGGACAAGACUUUAUCUGUAUUUUCUUCCAUCCUUUCAAUUUGUUCACCUUCUUGGUUUCUGCCCUUUCAGAUGGCAUCAUCUUUUAUUGCACAUAACACCUUUUAUGCUCCCUUGAUUAUCAAAGGACAUUAUUUGGUUAUCAAAGCAUCAUCAAAGGAUACCUACCACUAGUCCCCCCAGAAAAGGCGAAGCUGAUACUUCAGAAGACUGAGCAGCACAAAGCUUCAAUCAAAUUGGAAAAAAUUAUCAUUCUGCAACAACCUCAUAUGAAGCGUCAACAGGUACUCAGUGGAAGUACUGUCAGAAUCUCUGUAACUAUGGCCCCAAAACACAGAUUCUUAGUGUUAUUUAACUAUCUUGUUGGAAACAACAUUAGUUAACUCUGAGCUACCUUUAAGGAGCUUGGCUUUAAGAACUGUUGCAGUUACCCUAAAACACAUAAGCUCCUGUGACAAGCAGAUUUUACAGCCCAGAGCUAUCCAUCUAGGCUCUCCCAGGAAAGGGGAAUGCUAGACACCUAUGCAAGAAACAUGUCAGAAAGCUUCCAGCUGAACACAGAAUGUCUCACACUGGUCAAGAGUGAGAGGUGAAGUGUGAGACAAGGAGUGAAGGCAUCUCAGCUACUGACUCCAUAGAAGAUCUGACAGACCUGAAAUGGCACCUUCCUGCCUGUUCUUGGGCUCUCUUCACAAGCUUGCACCAGGUUUUGUAAGAAAGGGUAGUUUCCACAGAUUACAGAGAAUCUUGCCUCAGGGGUUCUGGAAUUUCAUCCCAGUAAAGGGCUUUGAGUAGCUUGCUAGUGACUAGGCAAUGUCAGCAGUGCCAACCAGGAGAAACUUUGCUGCCUAUCAGGGCAGUGGCAGCUGAGUAGCUGUUCAGGAAAUGUCUUAAGUGGUAGGACACAGACACCAAAGAGACUGGUGAGUGCUAAAGGACCAUUUAUAAACGCCUUGCACAAUAACAGUUCCAGAAUAACCUGGAAGUUCAUAAUGCAGUCCAAGCCACCAUCAACUACUAGUUCUGUACUAUUAAAACUGACCUGAGUAGGAUUAAGGCCAUUGCCUCUGGCAUACUUGUGAUUAACCUCCUGUUCAAUUGUACUCUCCAAAGAGUUCCUUCCAGUAUCUGAAGGGGCCUACAAGGAAGAUGGAGAGUGACUUUUCACAGAAAAUACAAUGAUAAGACAAAGAGUAGCGGGUUCAAGCUGAAAAUCUUCAGCUCAGCUGCUAAUGAUGCAUUUUCUUAUCACUUCUAAGUGAUAAGGAAAUCACAUCUUUUUUCAUUUUAAGUGAAGGGUUCUUCAACCAUCACUGUGGUGAAUAUAAACUCAGAAAAAUAGUUUGCAAGAGUAUAGGUCUAUAUUGUCUGUUGCAUUAAUGUUCCAGCCAACAGACAUUGCACUUUUACUGCCAUCUUCAUGGACAAUGAAAAUUUGAAUACAAAUAAAUCUCCAAUAUAUAACUAAGAAAAGGCA
rnacentral:lncRNA from 1 species